CCUACGGGGGGCAGCAGUGGGGAAUAUUGGACAAUGGGCGAAAGCCUGAUCCAGCCAUGCCGCGUGUGUGAAGAAGGCCUUCGGGUUGUAAAGCACUUUCAGUGGGGAAGAAAGCCUUGGGGCUAAUACCCUCGAGGAAGGACAUCACCCACAGAAGAAGCACCGGCUAACUCCGUGCCAGCAGCCGCGGUAAUACGGAGGGUGCGAGCGUUAAUCGGAAUUACUGGGCGUAAAGCGCGCGUAGGCGGUCUGAUAAGCCGGUUGUGAAAGCCCCGGGCUCAACCUGGGAACGGCAUCCGGAACUGUCAGGCUAGAGUGCAGGAGAGGAAGGUAGAAUUCCCGGUGUAGCGGUGAAAUGCGUAGAGAUCGGGAGGAAUACCAGUGGCGAAGGCGGCCUUCUGGACUGACACUGACGCUGAGGUGCGAAAGCGUGGGUAGCAAACAGGAUUAGAUACCAUAGUAGUC
rnacentral:rRNA from 1 species